CUUUAUUAAAACUAGAAAAUUAAUACAAUUUAACAAAUGGUGAUGUUCAGCACAGGUCAGAGUGCUGAACAUCACCAUAUAUGGUCAUGGGGCCAUCAAAGAAAACGACCACAUGACCUGUCAAUUCAGUUAGAGACGCCCAUUCAUUCGGUUCGCGCGGAGGCUGGAGGAAGGUCAGGAGGAGGACAGCAUAGCGUCGAGGGGCAUGCGCGGGAAUUUACCGCGCGGGUGAGUAUGGGAAGAUGAAGGAGCCGCGGUCACAUGAUAUCCGGCGAGAGGAAGAUGGCGACCUACUGGAAAUAGAUCCGGAUCACCAGCAAACCUA